CGGUGACGGUGACGGUGACGGUGACAACCGGCCAGCCCCGGGCGGGGACAUCCGGCUGCAGCUCUGGUGGUGGGGACCCCGCGGGGACAGCGGGAACGGCGAUUGUCACCUCACCGGGGACACCGGGAAUGGCGAUUGUCACCUCACCGGGGACACCGGGACUGGUGAUUGUCACCUCCCCAGGGACACCGAUUGUCACCUCACCGGGGACAGCGGGAACAGCGAUUGUCACCUCACCGGGGACACUGAUUGUCACCUCACCGGGACUGGUGAUUGUCACCUCCUUGGGGACACCGAUUGUCACCUCCCUGAGGACACCGAUUGUCACUGCCUUGGUGACCCCAGGACCGGCGAUCGUCACCACCCCCGGGACACCGAGUGUCACCCCUGGACACCCCAAACGUCACCCUGGGGGUGUCACAGCCCCCCAAAUGUCACCCCCACUCCGCU
rnacentral:lncRNA from 1 species